GCUUCGAGUGGCGCCUCCGUAGACACGGUGAUUCGGGAGCUGAUGAGCACAUUCAUGCCCGUCUUCCAUAGCCUUUCAUCUCGCCGUCAUUUACUGUGCACCUGCUAUGUGCCAGGCGGUGUGCCGACUCUGCGUGGAUACAGAGAGGAAAUCUUCCCUGACCCUAAGGAGCUCUUACUUAAAAGACUAUGAUUACCAGGCUUGGUAAUACAGGAAAAGGGAUGGAACUGGAGAGCAUGAUGUUAAGAGAAGUAAGCCUGAUCUGGAAAGACAGGUGCUGCCAUUCCUGACCUGGGGCCUUCAGACUUGGAUUUAUCAGCUCCUUCUCACUCACUGCCCUGACCAUCUCUUCAGUUAUCAGACCUUUGAACUUGGCUGGAUGCUUCUACCAAUAUGGGUUCCUUAGCUUGCAGAAUACAGAUCACGGGACAUCUCAGUAUCCAUAACUGCAUUCUCUAAUUCCCAUAGAAAAUUCUCUUGGAUAUGUAUAGAGUGUAGACCUAUCUUCUGUUGGUUCUUUCCUCUAAGGCUCAUCAAG
rnacentral:lncRNA from 1 species